rnacentral:lncRNA from 1 species
GAUUUCGAAAAAUUACGAAAUUUAUUUUCUAAAAAUUUCAAAUACUCUAGAUCAUAUUUAACGGAGUGGAUCGUUGAUUUGGAAGCUUCAUCAUUGAAAAUAACUUAUGAGUACAAACGGCUCUAUACUCAUAAGAGUAUAGAAGCCCUAGCAUAUAUAUAUAUAUAUAUAUAUAUAUAUAUAUAGAGUGAGGCUACUAUGCUAUCGGAAGUACGGAGCCUUCCGUGCUUCCAGCUUGUUUUCGAUGUUGCGACUUUCGAAUCGUCGAUCGGCUCCGCUAAACUUGAUCUAGAGUAUUUGAAGUACCUAGAAAAUAAAUUUUAUGAUUUUAUGAUAUCAUUUGCCUAGUGAACGAAGGGGCUCAAAAUCAACGGCUAAAAAUAAAAAUCUUACAAAAUGUAAUAAUAUGACAUUAAAAUUUUAAAUCAAAGAUAUUGAUCUUGUUUUAUAUAGUAUAAAGAAUUUUCUAUCAAAAUUUUACGUGAUUUGGAUAUUUCUACAUCGUUAAACUUGCAAAUGGCUCACUACGGCCAUUGAAAUUUGUUGAUUUUGAGCCCAUUCGAUCACUAGGCAAAUGGUAUCGAAAAAUAAUAAAGUUUAUUUUCUAGGUACUCCAAAUACUCUAGAUCAAGUUUAACGGAGCCGAUCGACGAUUCGAAAGACGCAACAUCGAAAAUGAGCUGGAAGCACGGAAGGCUCCGUGCUUCCGAUAGCAUAGUAGCUCUCUCUCUCUCUCUCUCUCUCUCUCUCUCUAUAUAUAUAUAUAUAUAUAUAUAUAUAUAUAUAUAGGGUAGAGCUACUAUGCUAUCGAAAGCAUAGACGAUCUGAUGCUUCCAACUUUUUGACCAUUGGAUAAAAAAUUAUACGGUUGGGAUGAUUGCGGUACCCCUAGAGUUGAGUAGUACCCCUAGAGUUGAGUAGUACCCCUAGGGUUGAGUGGUCCCCACAGGGUAAUAGUAUUAAUCCAAAGGUUAUAAAUAAUCAAGGGGGUUGAUCUAAGGGCAAAAAAGUCGGAAGCACCAGAUCCCCUAUGCUUCCGAUAGCAUAGUAGCUCUACUCUCUCUCUCUCUCUCUCUCUCUCUCUCUCUCUCUCUCUAUAUAUAUAUAUAUAUAUAUAUUGCCAACGAAAAAAAAUGUUUACAGAAAAGUGGAUGCCACUAAGGUGUCUGAUCGUAAGGGAAACUAACUUAAAACUACUCCUAGAAAAGCAAAAAAUGUAAGAAAAAGAGAGAUUACAAGUAGACUACUGCUAAAAAGAGAAAAAGUGUAUGAAAAUAAAUUGGUCUUCUUGUUCUCAAGGAAAAAAAGACCAUUUGUCAGGCAUCUUCUGACUUGUAGGUUAUGAAACCCUAGGAUCUAUCUACAUAAUAUCACACCUAGAGGGGGGUGAAUAGGCGUAUAGCCCAAAAUCGCAAAUCUCAAUGCAAUAAAAAAUAAAUGCGAAAAAUAAAAAUAGCAUACCAAGAUUUACGUGGGAAAACUCCAAUUUGGAGAAAAACCCACGGGACCAACAUGCGAAAAAAUAAUUCACUGAGAGAAAAGUUUACAAGGUGAUUACUGACUCUACGGACUCGACCUCUCUUAACUUUCUAUGGAUCUCGCGCAAGCCUCCGGGUUGUCCACACUCUCACGUUCGAAUCCACGAACGCCACACACAUAUCCAAAUCCACAAACGUCACUCGAAUCCACGAGCCUACGACUUGAAUCCACGGACCGCCUUGAUCACGCCGAAUCCACGACGCCGCACAUGAAGAGUAUCAUGUUUCUAUGGUGAUGCUUUACUUAGAGAGUCGUUGAAGAACUAGAGAAGGAACUCUCAGCAAAGCUUAGAUCAAUUCGACAUAUAGAUAUUGAAUUCAAUAACUCGAAUUGAACUAAAAGAGGCUAAUUUGUGGAAAAUAGGUUUAGAACGAAAAUCUAGCACUAGGGUUACUCUAUCAUGUAUUCUCGUGCUUCUCAUACAAUUAGAAAACCCUAAUAGCUUAUUUAUAGACUUUAGAAUCAAUUAGAGUCGGAUUAGAAGCUAAAUUAGAAAAUUUUACAUUGAGUACCAGUACUCGAGAGUUGGUACUGGUACCUUAGGACGAUUCAGAAAUUUCCUGACGUUGAGUACUAGUACGCGGCCGAUGUAAUACCGGUACCCGGCCGAUGCAGUGCGGGUACUUGGUUGUGGUACCGGUACACAGUGCAAUUCCCAGAAAUGUAGCUCUCGGGUAUUGAGGUACCAAAGUGAGGUACCGGUACACAGUAUUAAAACUUGGUUUUUCAAGUACGGUUUUGAGGAACUGAAAUCUAGUACCAGUACACAAUAUCAAAUAUUGUUAUAUUCAAUUUAAAAGUUCCAAAACCCACUUCUAAUCCUUUAAUCAUUGAUUUAUAUGAUUCUAAUGUCAUAAAUAAGUAUGAAUCACCAUAAAAAUAUUUAAAAGCUUGCCUGAGCAUCGUGAUUCAUGAAGUGAGAUGUUUCUGAGUUCUCGAAAUCUCGGAUUCUUCAAUCUUCGACAAUCACACACCGAACCCUUCAAGACUCCGACUCAAAUCACGAAACUUGCCAACACAAAAUUCCUAACAUGACUAUUUAUAGUUCUGCUCGUUAUUUAUUCAGUUACUCCCCACUAUCGACUAUGUCCCUACUUCUGCGGGCCACUCUUGGCCGAUCCUAGCCGCAUCAACUUUAACUGAUUUUUGAUUUUUUGCGUGCAUUCUUUUCAAAUCCUGGUGCAUCACAUGUCACUUUAUAUCUGGCUUUAGAAGCCAUUUUCGUGGUGUGUUCUGGCUCACCAUGUGGCACAAUUUUUUAUUGCGCUAACAAUGCCCCCCCGGCAGCUCCUGAACAUUUGUUCAGGUGGCUGGCGCCAUCUUUUUUAGCGGCUCAGAUUACAAGGCCAUCAGUUAAAAUUCCGGAAGUGCUCUGCACAAUCCAUUCUUCUUAGCUGUCCUUUUCUUUCGUUCUUUAACAGCUACGAUCUUUUACAUUCUUUUGUCUCAUUUAGGGCAUUAAUUAGGUCAUUUAUGGUUGCCGUCACUUCGCUAACAUGAUCUAUUUUUUGAAAUUCCCUCCGACGGCUUCGCUUUUCUUGCGCCCCUUCGUCUUCUUCUCUUUCAUUCUCCUUUUUUUUUGAGGCUUUUGUUCUUUUGCCUUCUUUUUCCCCCUUUCUCGAUUCCAAUUUUUCUAAUGGCCACAAUCCCUUCUCUUCUAUUAAUUCCCUCCCUCGAUUAUACUCUUCCCAGGCCAUAUGUUGAAUCAAAUCCUUUUCGCUUUAUACUCGGUCCUUUUUUUGUAGAACAUCCAAUGCCCGAGGCUUUUUCCUUUUCAACCGAUGGUCUUCCUUUGAUGGCCAAUGUCAUUAAUCUUCCAUCUUAGUAUACUUUGAGGUCAUCAAGAAAGAGCCUUCGAACUUGGCCUAGCGUCUCAGACGCUUAUUUGGUCUGGUAAAGUGUCACGCCCCGGGACCCAGCGGAAGCCCGCCCGGCGCGUGUCCAGACCCGCCAUACGUCUAAAACGUAUAAGGCNCUGGGGGACCGGUCUCUCCUAUCAGGGACCGGUCUCCUAGAGUAAAACUCUCAGGACUCAGCCGAAACUCUCGAGAUCGAACUUUUAGGCCGGUAUACCAUCGACGGCCCUCCACCAUGUGUGGAAAAGUUCGGAAUACAAAUCGAACACUCGAACCUCGCAAUUUGCAAAGGUCCAGUGUGCUACAUAAAGCAGGGUUGAGGAAUCCUCUGCCGACCUUUGACGCGAAGUUGGAAUUUAUGAGGCCAUCCAACUCUCAAAGAUUCCUCCUUAAGCCGAUAGUCUUUUUCUUGCUGCGAUUCUAUAUUUCUGGUCUCCAGCUUCUAAAACCUUGUUUUUUUGGACUAGACCUUUCACCCCAACUCUUCUCGAUGUAGCAACGAUUGUUGGUCUCCGUUCUCACGGCAUCAGCCUUUCUAUGGCCUAUAAUCCUGUUGGAGUGGUGGAGUUCGAGACCUAUCUGGAUCCAAAGGUUGACCUCGCCUAUACCAAAUUUAUGUAGAAGUUCGCGGGUCAGGCUCCUACUCCGAUCACCAAGAAAGAACAUACUGCUUUUCUCCUCUACUGGUUGUGUCGCAAUUUUUUUUGUACUCGUUCGCAGAAGAUCAACCGAAAUUUCGUCCCCAUCACCAUCGCAUUAGCCAAUGACGAGAAGCUAGCCCUAGGUAUAUAUUUUUUUUCUUUUGUUUAUCGAGAAAUUUUUGAGCUAAUUAAGCCGCUGUCGCCGAAGAAGUAGGUUUUACUUCCACCCACUUGGUAAAGUAGUUUACGGCCACUUUCAAGAAUUUAUGUCCAGCCGAAGAGUUAGACUGAAUUUCUCUAAUUAAAUCUGUUAUGGAUUUGGAUUGGCAAGUUUUGUGAUUUGAGUCGGAGUCUUGAGGAAGGGUUCAGUUCGAUAUUUCGAAGAUUGAAGAAUUCGAGAUUCCAAAGUACUCAAAAACAUCUCACCGUAUAAAUCACGAUGCUCAGAUAAGUUUUUAAAUAUUUUUAUAGUGAUUCAUAUCUAUUUAUGACGUUAGAAUUAUAUAAACUAAUGUUACAUAGAUUAGAAGUGGUUUUUGGAACUUUUAAAUUGAAUAUAACAAUAUUUUUAAUUGAGUACCAGUACUAGGUUCCAGUUCCUCAAAACCGGAUUGAAAAAUCUGAGUUUUUAUAUUAUGUACCAGUACCCAUUUGGUUCCUCAAAAUCAAGCGAAACAAUACUGGAAUUGUAUUGUGUACCAGUAUCGAGCUCUAAUACCGGUACUGCAUCGGCCGAGUACUGGUACUGCAUUGGCCGAGUACCAGUACUCAGCAUUAGAAAAUUUUAGUUUCGUCAUGGUAUACCGGUACCCACACUCGAGUACAGGUACUUAAUGUAAAAUUUUCUAAUUAAACUUCUAAUCCUACUCUAAUUGAUUAUAAAGUCUAUAAAUAUGACAUUGGGAUUCUCUAAUUAAACUUUUCCACCAUAUUGUCAUUCUAAACCCUAAAAUUUUCUAAUUAAACUUCUAACCCUAAAGGCUAGAUUUUUCAUUCUAAACCCUUUUCCACCAUAUUGUCACGUCCCAGAUUACCAAAGUGCCCCGGGCACGCUAACAGACCCGUUGUAUACAUAGAAAUUUUUCGUAUAUACGAAGUGAAAGCAAAACCUGCAAACAGAUAUAAGCAACAACAAGAAGUAUAGAGCUGCUAAAACAAAAAACUCAUGUAUACAUAAAGAGCCCACUAUACAUACAACUCCAUAAGUACAACCAAAACUCAGAGAGUAUUACUAAACAUAACUGUAUGUACAUGGUAAUAUCUAACUACCUCUGUAGGGGUGCUCCUCUAGUAAAAGACCAGGGAAGGUAGGGGUCUAGCUCGUGACUCUCUUACCUCGAUCGGAAUCAACAGUAGUAGCAACGAACGACUCUGCAAAAAGGUGGCAAUAACAAGGUGUGAGAACUACUGCAAAAUAGAGUAGACCUCAGUGGUUACCAUCACCGACCCUAACGGCCUACCCACUAAGUCUACAGUAAAGAUAUACAAAGGAUAGUAAAAUAAGCUGGAGAAACUCUACAGCUAUAUGCCACUAGACUACCGCUAUCCAAACUAUGUUCUCUGUAGACAUAGAAAUGCAUCAACAGUUACAACUCAAUCACACUGACCCAAUCUGAAUGGACCGUCAACUAGCCAGUCUAGCUUGUAUCCAAGCUAUACCGCACACCACCUACGGGGGUGGCCGGUCUAAGAACACUUUCCAAACAGGACUGCUGCGAUAUCAACACAAGUAAAGCCUUACUCCGGAGUGGCACUCGUGGGAGCGAUCCAACUGAGUGUACAAGCGUGUCUCUUUCGAGCUCAAUCAGGCUCACACUAAUCUAAGUAUCCAAAGCACACUAACAGCGGUGAUACAAAAGAAAAUUAACUCCUGAAGCUAAUUCUGUUAACAUUUCGAAAAGUGUCAGGUGUAGGUUUAACAAGUUUUCUCUCACGUCCAAUUCCAGUUCAGCAUAUAAAACUUUAUCUAAAAUUAUUAAAUUAUGCUCCAAAUUUAGAUUUUAUAUAAAACAUGCAAAUUCACGAAUUCGAGCUACUAAACAUGAUGAUCAAAACAAGAAGAUGCGUGCUGACAAAUCUAUGACUUAGGAAGAAUUUGACAAUUUCGGUAAACAUUAACCCACCUCCAAUACUCAUCCAACGCCGGCAAGAAGUCGAUAGAAGCAACCCGCACUAGAUUAACCUCUAACGGAAUCAACCGGGGUGCGCGAACGAUUCUCCAAAGACAAGGAGAAUAAAACGAGAUCAAUCCUCAAAAUCACAAAGGAAAAUAAGAAGAGAAGCUAGAGAGAGAAAGAGGAGAAGCUACCUGUUUUCUCCAAGCUUCUAACACAAAGAGACUGGCUGGGGAUCGAUUCGGAUUUAUCGAUAGCAAAAUGACCAAAAGACUCCUUACCAACUCAAUUCUGCCGCCCGAGUACCGAUACUCAACUUGGGCACUGGUACCCCGCACUCGGACAGCAGCCGUGUACCGGUACUGGCCCAAUGCAGUAUCGGUACCCAGUCCCAGUAUCGGUAUUCACUAAUAGGUACCAGUACGCAACACCAAGUUGUACAAACCCGAGAGCACACUUAUAUGUAAUCCCUCUGGGGUACCGGUACUCCUCUUAGGUACUGGUACACAACACUCAACAUCCUGCUUUUGUAGAUAUCAGUGUCCAAACUCCAACUCUCACAGCUCUGAGUAUGUUUUCGCGUCUAUUUCGCGCCAAAACGACUUCGACUCGUCCUGACACUCUACUGAUGUGUCGACAAGCCACUGAUGCUAUAGUCAGUAAGACAGCUAAGCCCCAGAGACACUACAUUCUCCGCCACGAUAAAAAGUUUCAUCCUCAAAAAGUCAUACCUCAAUACGAUACCUCAAACAAGUAGGGGUAGGACUCCCGCAUCACAACCUCCGGCUUUCAAUUCACCUCAUGCUCCUCGUGAUUACUCCACUGCACUUUCACGUGCGGUAUGACUGGUUGCGCAAUUAUUUCGUCUCACGAUCAAGAAUCCGUAUCGGUCGUUCCUCGUACCUCAGGUUCUCGCCUUACUCAAGUGGAGUGAAGUCAAUCAUGUAUGAGGGGUCAAACAUGUAUCUCCUCAAAGCCGAGACGUGAAACACAUCGUGAAUGCCAGAAAGUCGAGGUGGUAGUGCAAUCCUGUAAGCUACUGGCCCGAUUCGCUCCAAAACCUCGAAAGGGCCAACAAAUCGUAGGCUGAGCUUUCCACGAACUCCAAAUCUACGAAUCCCUCUGGAUUGCGAGACUUUCAGGAAAAUAUGGUCACCAACCUGAAACUCCAAGUCUCGUCUCCUGGUAUCAUCAUAGCUUCUUUGUCGACUCUCAGCAGUCUCAAGGUGUCGCCGCACAACUCUGACCUUUUUCUCUGCUUCCAACAGAAUAUUAGGGCCCAAAGGCUUCCUCUCACCUACAUCACUCUAGUGCAAGGGUGAUCGACACUUUCGUCCAUACAACGCUUCAAACGGAGGCAUUCGAAUACUCGCUUGAUAGCUGUUGUUGUACGCAAACUCAUCCAAUCUCAAGUGUCGAUGCUAUCCACCUCCAAAAUCCAGGACACAAGCUCUCAACAUGUCCUCUAGAGUCUGAAUGGUCCGCUCUGACUGACCAUCUGCCUGUGGAUGAAAUGCUGUGCUGAAGUGAAGCUGCGUAUCGAAAGCCACCUGAAGGCUCCUCUACAAAUGCGAGACGAACCUCGGGUCUUUAUCUGAUACAAUUGAGGUAGGCACACUAUGUAAUCUCACUAUUUCAUUCAAAUACAAUUGGGCAAGUCGCUCCCUAGACCAAAUGGUCUGCACCGGUAGGAAGUGGGCAGACUUGGUCAGCCUAUCCAUUAUUACCUAGAUAGCAUCAAAUUCACCCUGUGCUCUUGGUAAACCCACGAUGAAAUCCAUAGUGAUCUGAUCCCAUUUCCACUCUUUCACUGUAAGAUUCUGAAGUUUGUCAGCAGGUACACGAUGCUCUGCCUUCACUUAUUGGCAAGUUAGACACUGAGCCACAUAUCUUCCAAUGUCUCUCUUCAUCCCAUUCCACCAGAAGUGUGCCUUCAAAUCCUUAUACAUCUUAGUUCCACCAGGGUGAACUGUAUAAGGUGAGUAAUGAGCGUCUCUUAAAAUCUCCUAUCGGAUCUCAGAAUCUAUAAGCACACACAAUCGUUUUCUGUACCGCAGUACUUCCGAACUGUCAACAACAAAGUCCCCUAUCUGUCCCCUCUCUCUCUGCUCUCGGAUCCUUAACAAAUGAGGGUCUACACUAUGUUUCUCUCUGAUCC